AAAGAGAUUAUUUUUGUUAUAUGUCGUUUACUACGCUCUUUACAUCCACGACUCCCGGACGGUUACGUGAGCUCAAAAUAUUCUUCGAAAAACGUGGGUAGGCCACAAUUUUUUUGUAGGUACAACUUGCACCACCAACUUAUCUGUUCAGGUGGGAAAAAUUGGAGCUAGAGCCGCGUCAGCCGCCAUUUCAAAAUCCACGCGCACGAAUCGCGGGCAUCAGCUAAUCACACUAAU